UCACAUCAAUAGAGAAUGGGUAGGAUAUUAUUUUCCCUAGGUCAUUCUCAGCUGUGCAGAGAUAUUGUCCAGAGUCAGAAGACUGGAUGGGAUGAAAGGAAAGCUGUUGUCCUUGGACACUGCGUCCGGGGGGAUGACCUGUAGUAACCUUGGUCCAGGUGUACUUUGCUACUGGGUUGGCCUCGCUGGUGCAGGUCAGACUCACUGAACUGCCCUCCUUUAUUACACCAGGGGGAGUCCCUCCCACUGAGGGGGUCUCUGGAGCGAACACUGAUGGAGAGGUGAGAUGUUUGGAUCCUUGAACAGCACAUGAAGCACUGUAGUCUGAGUUAAUGUAGAACCAGAGAAACCUUCUUUGAUAUUGUUGAGGAAUUCCAUUCCUGUACCAGGUGUACGUAAGACCGGUUGAAUCACACAUGCUGUGACAUUCCAGCUGUACCCUGUAAAGACUGCUUGGACGAAUUACCACUUCCAUCUGGAUAU